GGUAAUCAUUAGUUGAAAGUCUGAUGAGAAGAAUUUUUGGAAUUGACAGGAAAGGGUGGAAGAGAAAACAAAUUCAACAACUAUUUUUGUAGCAAAAUUCAAAACCUAAGAAAUGAGGAAUUCACUCCUAAUACACCAAGGUGUAAUUAUUGUGGAACCAUAAAACUUUUAAGAGUCAAUUAAAGAAAACGGCUGGAGUAAGGUCAUGUAAAAGGAAAUUGAUAUUUUUGAAAAGAGCAACACAUGGGAGUUGUUAAGUAUCAAAAAACUAUUGGUGUGAAAUGAUUAAAUAAAGUAAAAUAUAACCUAGAUGAAAGAAGAGGUUUAUGUUGAGCAACCUCAAGGCUUUGGAUUGAAGGCCAAGAAGAGAAGAUUUAUAAACUAAAUAAAGUUUUUUAAGGACUGAAACAAGCUCCUGGAGCAAACAGCAUUGACAUUUAUUUCAUAGUGAAAGGCUUUAAAAUGCCUUUAAAUGUAAUCAAUAAUAAAAGAGAGAGAAAAUAGUGAUUCAGUCCCAAAUUAUCUUGUGGAGUUCAGGAUUUUCUGCAAAGUUAGAUAGAAAGUGAGUUCCUUGAGCAUUGGGCAUCAACGUCACCUCUGAAAUACCACCAACAAAAUGCCCCAUAUGCUUUCAUAUGCACGAUCACCACCAUCUACAGAUUGAAAUAUUCUUAUGAGUUUGCUAAUAUAAUGAAUGAGACAUUAAAGUCAAUCAAUGUACGCUAGCUAAAUCCGAAUUAGAAAAUAGCAUUUAUUUUCUUUAGCAUUGUUACGACUAAAACCCACAAGGAAAAAUCAACCCAAAAGAGUAGCCGAGUCAACAAUUUCUAUCAGUAUGUAAGCUUAAUGAUAUUUAUCAUAUGUUACUGUUCUGAACUCUUUUGUGCAACCAUGACAGCCGUGCCUCAGAUUUUGGUCUGAUGAAGAUAGACAACAAAGGAAGGAUCCUUUCAUUUAGUGAAAAGCCUAAAGGAGAAGAGUUGAAAGCAAUGGUACCCUUUAUGUUCAUUAUACUAAUAACACUCCCGAAAAGUUUCAACAGUUAGAACCACUGCUAAUACGUACUGCCUUAUAAUUUAGCAAGUAGAUACAACCGUUUUGGGCCUUUCGAAGGAUGAGGCUCAAAAGAAACCAUACAUUGCUUCCAUGGGAGUGUACGUCUUCAAGAAGGAAAUCCUUCUUAAUCUACUAAGGUACUGACUAAUAUCUGGCUAAAUGUUAGGCUUUUUCCUGUGGUUCACUUCAUCUAUUAAUAUAUUCUACAAAAGUACAGAAAUAUGCUCUGAGAAUAAAUUCAUCUUGUUGCAAAGCUUGAUUGUUAAGUGCUAGAAAUUACUUUAAUUUAGAUGGCGCUUUCCUACUGCAAACGACUUUGGAUCAGAGGUUAUUCCUGCCUCAGCUAGAGAAUAUUAUAUGAAGGUAUGACUGAAAAAAUCAUUGCAUUGGAAUCUUUUCUGUUUAUUAUUUACCUAUGGUGUGACAAUCUCUGUGUGCAGGCUUAUCUCUUCAAUGAUUAUUGGGAAGACAUAGGGACCAUCAGAUCAUUCUUUGAGGCAAAUCUUGCCCUCACUGAGCAUGUGAGUGUCAAAUCACCUUGUUGAGCUUCAAUGACUUGAAUGUGUUGAGUUCAUUACUUAUUAGUGGGAUAUGCUAGAGGUGAACAUAAGAAAUUAAUUGAACUGUUAAAUUAAAAAACUUAACUGCAAACAUUUUUUCAUUUCAUCCUUUCAAAUUAAUUUCAUAGAAUUAUUUUCCUUGUUCAAUGAUUGAGAUCCAAAAUCUUUCUUGCCCAUAAAAGCUUACUUCUGUAAUUUUUCAGCCACCCAGGUUUAGCUUUUACGAUGCAGCAAAACCAAUGUAUACAUCCAGGAGAAACUUACCACCAACAAAGAUUGACAAUAGCAAGGUCAGUUCUUCAAAAUUUCUCGUGAGGAAUUUUGUUGGUAAUUCAAACCAGUCGUACCAAAGCCUUACUGCAAGGAGAAGAGUGAACUUAAUUUGUUAGGCAUACAGCAAAAACAAUUUAUUUAACAUACUGUUUCAUGCCUAUAUUAUCACAUGCAGAAUGCUGUACCUACAAAUAUGGAGGAAUUAAUGUGUUUAGAUCUUCAACAAUUUUUUUACUUACCUGUUGUAUCCCCAUUGCACUUCAGAAAACCUCCUCUUUUCCGCUUUUGAAUCUCAACCACAUCGUUGUUAUUUGUCCUUUCGUGCAGAUUGUUGAUUCAAUCAUAUCACAUGGAAGCUUCUUGAAUAAUUCCUUUAUAGAGCAUAGUGUUGUUGGAAUCAGAUCCAGAAUAAACUCAAAUGUUCAUCUAAAGGUUUGGUGCACCAAUUCGACCAUCUAACCAUAUCUUUUUAAAAAAUUAUAGAAGAUGACGAUGCAUAUUGUUAUAAACAUUGCUAUAUAUACAUACUUUGUUCCUAUUGUGCAUCAAGUCUCAAAUUUAUAGGUUAACAUUCAAUUUUUUGGUUCCGCAGAAAUAUAAUAGUAUUUAUGGUAGAAUAUAAAUUUGGUAUUUUUCUUAGGUGUGCGACCAUCUAGUUCGAUAACUUCUGGUGCAUUACACUUCUUUGCAGGAUACGGUGAUGCUUGGUGCUGAUUUCUAUGAAACCGAUGCAGAAGUGGCAGAACUCUUAGCUGAAGGAAGGGUUCCGAUAGGAAUAGGAGAAAAUACCAAAAUCAAGUAUGUAUUAUAAUGCUCACUAUCUUAACCAUUACUUCCUCACGCUUUUUACUCACUUUUCACAUUUCUGUAGGAACUGUAUCAUUGACAAAAAUGCUAGAAUAGGAAAGAAUGUCGUAAUAGCAAAUUCAGAGGUAUGCUCUUGAAACUACUCUAAAUAUAUAUAGCAUUGCAAGAAGAUUAAGUGAUACACCUACCAAUUGAUAACCAACUUUAUUUGGGGUUAUGAUACUCCUAAAACCUUUUGUCAAUUCACUAAAUCACUGUAUAAGAACUAAUUAGCCUCGCUUGAAUUUUCUCUUACAACCCCCAAAAUAAGUGAGACAAACAUUUUCUUUUUAACAGAACACCAUGAAAAUUCACAAUUUAAACUAUAAAUAAAAUCAUUUAGAUACCACAAAUUUUUUAUAUGCUGAAAAGUGUACUAAAUCUGCCUUCAAUGACUUACAGGGCAUACAAGAGGCUGAUAGAUCUUCAGAAGGGUUUUACAUCCGUUCUGGGAUUACCAUUGUAUUGAAAAACUCAGUAAUUGAAGAUGGACUCGUCAUAUAAUAAAUUCGCCCGCGGUUUGUUUGCCCCGGUUUACAAAGAAUUUGAGGAUGGGAAUGUUUUAAUUUUUAUGAAUAAUAGUUUUGAAAAAAAAAACAUUUAAAAAUUAAAUAUCAAUGUGCUGUCGAAAUGAUAGAGAUAAAUUCACAUCUCAUAUCUGGACAACUUUUCUGAAAAUGUACUUAUAUAUAAUAAUUACAUACACAGUUGCGCUGAACUUUUCUAGAUCGGGCUCUUUAAUGCGGAAAGUCGUUGAUUUUUUUUGGAAUAAGAGUCGAAGUAUGAAAAUUAAUGAAAUGAGUUUAAUGAUGAUGAGGAAUGAGUAUAGAAUUUAAAGGAUCACCUUUUCAGUGGUAGUUUGCAUUGUAGCCAUGUUAGAAGCAGCAAUUCGUGAUAGUCAGUAUUCCUUAACACAACAAAUAGACAAGGGCGGCAACGAGACAUGGAGCGGCGAUGGCAAGGGAACAGCGACGACGACGACAAGGAGGUAACGACAGCAAGGAUAACGAUUGCACGGGGCAUUUUAAUCUUUCAACCACCCCCGAUGGAGAUAUACAGUGAAAGUAUGGGGAUGCGAAUAAAAAAUGUCUAGAACCAUGCGCCUAUUUAGAUGCUUAUCUUUCACAAGUCCAAUUCAUCUUUCAAUGCAGAUGAAUCAGCUCAAGAGGAAAGGACUACUACUAGCUAAAUUGAUAAUUGAAAAAUUACUCAAAAAUUUGAUAAAUCUUAUUUAGGUAGCCUUAGGGAAAAAGUUCAUUUCAAUUUCCA
rnacentral:lncRNA from 1 species